GCCUGCCUAGCUCAAUCGGAUAGAGCGUCAGACUCUUACGAUUCCUGAGUUUGGUGAUCUGAAGGCUGCGAGUUCGACCCUCGCGGUGGGCU